UACGUAGGGUGCGAGCGUUGUCCGGAAUUACUGGGCGUAAAGAGCUCGUAGGUGGUUUGUCGCGUUGUCCGUGAAAUCUCACGGCUUAACUGUGAGCGUGCGGGCGAUACGGGCAGACUGGAGUACUGCAGGGGAGACUGGAAUUCCUGGUGUAGCGGUGGAAUGCGCAGAUAUCAGGAGGAACACCGGUGGCGAAGGCGGGUCUCUGGGCAGUAACUGACGCUGAGGAGCGAAAGCGUGGGGAGCGAACAGG
rnacentral:rRNA from 1 species